rnacentral:rRNA from 4 species
CAGCAGGCGCGCAAAUUACCCAAUCCCGACACGGGGAGGUAGUGACAAUAAAUACUGAUACAGGGCUCUUUUGGGUCUUGUAAUUGGAAUGAGUACAAUUUAAACCUCUUAACGAGGAACAAUUGGAGGGCAAGUCUGGUGCCAGCAGCCGCGGUAAUUCCAGCUCCAAUAGCGUAUAUUAAAGUUGUUGCAGUUAAAAAGCUCGUAGUUGAAACUUGGGCCUGGCUGGCAGGUCCGCCUCACCGCGUGUACUUGUCCGGCCGGGCCUUUCCUUCUGGAGAACCUCAUGCCCUUCACUGGGUGUGUUGGGGAACCAGGACUUUUACUUUGAAAAAAUUAGAGUGUUCAAAGCAGGCCUUUGCUCGAAUACGUUAGCAUGGAAUAAUAGAAUAGGACGUGCGGUCCUAUUUUGUUGGUUUCUAGGACCGCCGUAAUGAUUAAUAGGGACAGUCGGGGGCAUCAGUAUUCAAUUGUCAGAGGUGAAAUUCUUGGAUUUAUUGAAGACUAACUACUGCGAAAGCAUUUGCCAAGGAUGUUUUCAUUAAUCAGUGAACGAAAGUUAGGGGAUCGAAGACGAUCAGAUACCGUCGUAGUCUUAACCGUAAACUAUGCCGACUAGGGAUCGGGCGAUGUUCUUUUUCUGACUCGCUCGGCACCUUACGAGAAAUCAAAGUUUUUGGGUU